rnacentral:misc_RNA from 1 species
GGAUCAUUAUUGAAUGAACUUGGUGUGGUUGUUGCUGGCUCUCUCGUGGGGGCAUGUGCACACCCGCCCAUCCUCAUCUCUCCACCUGUGCACCUCUUGUAGACCUGGAUGAAUUUUCCGAGGUAACUCGGUCGGGAGGAAUGCUGCGCUAUUUGCGUCGGCUUUCUUUGCACUUCCAAGCCUACGUUUUUUUCAUAUACCCAUAGUAUGUAACAGAAUGUAUCAUUGGGCCUAAGUGCCUAUAAACCUUAUACAACUUUCAGCAACGGAUCUCUUGGCUCUCGCAUCGAUGAAGAACGCAGCGAAAUGCGAUAAGUAAUGUGAAUUGCAGAAUUCAGUGAAUCAUCGAAUCUUUGAACGCACCUUGCGCUCCUUGGUAUUCCGAGGAGCAUGCCUGUUUGAGUGUCAUUAAAUCAUCAACCCCACCGAUUUGUUUCGGCUUGGGGCUUGGACUUGGAGCGUGCUGGCGAAGGUCGGCUCCUCUUUAAAUGCAUCAGCGGAAGAAUGCACCUUUUUUCCCUUCAGCGUGAUAAUCCUGUUGCGCUGUGUGUGGGUCAAAGGUGUUCCGCUUAUAAUCGUCCUUCGGACAAACGAACCCAUCUAUUUUUGACCUCAACUCAGGUAGGACUACCCGCUGAACUUAAGCAUAUCAAUAAGCGGAGGAAAAGAAACUAACAAGGAUUCCCCUAGUAACUG